rnacentral:rRNA from 1 species
AACGCUGGCGGCGUGCCUAAUACAUGCAAGUCGAACGGACUUACAAGCAAUUGUGAGUUAGUGGCGAACGGGUGAGUAUCGCGUUGGUGACCUGCCCCAAAGCGGGGGACAACAGUUCGAAAGAAUUGCUAAUACCCCAUGUGUCCUUUUAUGGUUAGAGGUAGAAGGGUAAAGGAGAAAUCCACUUUGGGAGGGGCCUGCGUCCCAUCAGCUAGUUGGUAAGGUAACGGCUUACCAAGGCUAAGACGGGUAGGGGACCUGAGAGGGUGGCCCCCCACAAUGGAACUGAAACACGGUCCAUACACCUACGGGUGGCAGCAGUAGGGAAUAUUGCACCAUGGGCGAAAGCCUGAUGCAGCAACGCCGCGUGAGCGAUGAAGGCCUUCGGGUCGUAAAGCUCUUUUCAAGGGGAAGAGGAAGGACGGUACCCUUGGAAUAAGUCUCGGCUAACUACGUGCCAGCAGCCGCGGUAAAACGUAGGAGGCGAGCGUUAUCCGGAUUUACUGGGCGUAAAGCGCGUGUAGGCGGCGUAGAAAGUUGGAUGUGGAAGCUCCUGGCUUAACUGGGAGAGGUCGUUCAAAACUUCUAUGCUUGAGUUUGGUAGAGGAAAAUGGAAUUCCGGGAGUAGUGGUGAAAUGCGUAGAUAUCCGGAGGAACACCAGUGGCGAAAGCGAUUUUCUGGGCCAAUACUGACGCUCAGACGCGAAAGCUAGGGUAGCAAAACGGGAUUAGAGACCCCAGUAGUCCUAGCUGUAAACGAUGUAGACUUGGCGUUGGGUGGGUAAAACUACUCAGUGCCGAAGCAAACGCGAUAAGUCUACCGCCUGGGGACUACGGCGCGUCAAGGUUA